rnacentral:rRNA from 1 species
GAUGAACGCUAGCGGCAGGCUUAAUACAUGCAAGUCGAGGGGCAGCAUGAGUGUAGCAAUACAUUUGAUGGCGACCGGCAAACGGGUGCGGAACACGUACACAACCUUCCUAUAAGUGGGGAAUAGCCCAGAGAAAUUUGGAUUAAUACCCCGUAACAUAAUGAUGUGGCAUCACAUUAUUAUUAUAGCUUCGGCGCUUAUUGAUGGGUGUGCGGCUGAUUAGAUAGUUGGCGGGGUAGCGGCCCACCAAGUCUACGAUCAGUAGCUGAUGUGAGAGCAUGAUCAGCCACACGGGCACUGAGACACGGGCCCGACUCCUACGGGAGGCAGCAGUAAGGAAUAUUGGUCAAUGGACGCAAGUCUGAACCAGCCAUGCCGCGUGAAGGAUUAAGGUCCUCUGGAUUGUAAACUUCUUUUAUCUGGGACGAAAAAAGGCGAUUCUUCGUCACUUGACGGUACCAAAUGAAUAAGCACCGGCUAACUCCGUGCCAGCAGCCGCCGUAAUAC